AAAAUGCGAUAAGUAGUGUGAAUUGCAGAAUUCAGUGAAUCAUCGAAUCUUUGAACGCACAUUGCGCCCUUUGGUAUUCCUUAGGGCAUGCCUGUUCGAGCGUCAUUUUCACCUUCAAGCACAGCUUGGUGUUGGGCGUCUGUCCUGCCUCCGGCACGGACUCGCCUCAAAAGUAUUGGCGGCCGCUCCAGCGGCUUUGAGCGCAGCAGAAUUGCGUCUCUCGCGGCGAAGGGUGGUAUCCAGAAGCAUAUUUUUUAUUUUGACCUCGGAUCAGGUAGGGAUACCCGCUGAACUUAA
rnacentral:misc_RNA from 1 species